rnacentral:rRNA from 1 species
GAUGAACGCUGGCGGCGUGCCUAAUACAUGCAAGUCGAGCGAACGGACGAGAAGCUUGCUUCUCUGAUGUUAGCGGCGGACGGGUGAGUAACACGUGGAUAACCUACCUAUAAGACUGGGAUAACUUCGGGAAACCGGAGCUAAUACCGGAUGAUAUUUUGAACCGCAUGGUUCAAUAGUGAAAGACGGUCUUGCUGUCACUUAUAGAUGGAUCCGCGCUGCAUUAGCUAGUUGGUAAGGUAACGGCUUACCAAGGCAACGAUGCAUAGCCGACCUGAGAGGGUGAUCGGCCACACUGGAACUGAGACACGGUCCAGACUCCUACGGGAGGCAGCAGUAGGGAAUCUUCCGCAAUGGGCGAAAGCCUGACGGAGCAACGCCGCGUGAGUGAUGAAGGUCUUCGGAUCGUAAAACUCUGUUAUUAGGGAAGAACAUAUGUGUAAGUAACUGUGCACAUCUUGACGGUACCUAAUCAGAAAGCCACGGCUAACUACGUG